rnacentral:rRNA from 1 species
CCUACGGAGGCAGCAGUGGGGAAUUUUGGACAAUGGGCGCAAGCCUGAUCCAGCCAUUCCGCGUGAGUGAAGAAGGCCUUCGGGUUGUAAAGCUCUUUCGCAAGAGAAGAAAACUUACUUUCUAAUAAAGAGUGAGGUUGACGGUAUCUUGAUAAGAAGCACCGGCUAACUACGUGCCAGCAGCCGCGGUAAUACGUAGGGUGCGAGCGUUAAUCGGAAUUACUGGGCGUAAAGCGUGCGCAGGCUGUUUUGUAAGUCAGAUGUGAAAUCCCCGAGCUCAACUUGGGAACUGCGUUUGAAACUACAAGACUAGAAUAUGUCAGAGGGGGGUAGAAUUCCACGUGUAGCAGUGAAAUGCGUAGAGAUGUGGAGGAAUACCAAUGGCGAAGGCAGCCCCCUGGGAUAAUAUUGACGCUCAUGCACGAAAGCGUGGGGAGCAAACAGGAUUAGAUACCCUGGUAGUCCACGCCCUAAACGAUGUCUACUAGUUGUUGGUGGAGUAAAAUCCAUGAGUAACGCAGCUAACGCGUGAAGUAGACCGCCUGGGGAGUACGGUCGCAAGAUUAAAACUCAAAGGAAUUGACGG